AUGGUGAACUCACAGACACAAAAGAGGAAGCAGAGGUUCAUGUUUGGCCUUGCAACAAGACAGACUGCACCUGUGAGAGCUCUGAAGGGGGAAGAGCUACUGCCAGUCACGCCUGCAUUCUCUGAAGUAGGGGUGCUUGAAGGCACUGCCUUUCCAGGCCAUUCACUCCUGGUAACUGUAGGUCUUUUGCAAUAACAGAGUGAUAAAAUGACACUUGAAUAGAAUCAUGAGAACCCGGGGAGUGUGACCUCUCAGACACCUCUGCCCAAGUCCAAGAUCACCUGUGUCUUUGUCAUUCCUUGACAGGAAACUGUUGAAACUCUUUUCUGGAUACUGAAUGAUGGUUACAGGUACUGUGUUCUAAUCCCUUGCUGUUUCAAAAAAUUUCCUGUGAUUGCUAUAAGUCAAACUCUUUAUUAUGUGUUCUGUUUGUAUUGUUAAAGCAAUUUUAAAUACCUGAAAACAACGUUACAAUGCUUUGUUUCAGUUUUUCCUUAUGGAUCAUGAUUUGUAGAUCUCUGAGAUGUUUCACUGUCCUACAGCCUCCUUCUUUGGUCCACUUUUCCAGUAAGCAUGGCACCCCAAGCUGCACAGAGUGAUCCAGUUAAAACCUCAGCAUUUAAUAAAGAAAAAAUUAUUUAGUGUGUGCAAAAAUGCCAUUGAUCAAAUUUAGUGUCCUUCCUUUUUCCUAGCACAUCGUUUCCUGCAGUUUGUAGCUCCUGUCACUCCUCAUCCUUCUCCAUGUAAUUCCUGCCUACUCAGAUUUUCUUAUUUUAUGCUUUUCCAGAUGAUUAUUCUGAAGGGUACUAUUUAGCACUUCCUGUUGAAACUCUGGUCUGUGACAGCUUAGCUGGCUGAAUUGCAGCAGACAAGCUACUGGAGACUGAACAGAAGGAAUGUGAGAAGGAACCAUUGAAGAUUUUGUACUAAAAGUAUGAGGUGGUCGUGAAUGACUGCUCUUGGGAAGUUCACUUUAUCCUCUGGCCAGAAAUGUUUCUUAACAUUUAGUUUUACUUUUUGAUUAGUCUGUGUUUGUACAGCCUCUUCAUGGAGGGACAGGCUGGAAAUUUGUACCAGUAUUUGCUUUUGCAUGCUCAAACACUACUGUGUUUCCUGAAAAAAAAAUUAUAGAAAACACCUAUAUCAUGCAGAAAACAGAAGUUACCAUAAAUAAAGCCUCUAACAGUAUGAAAAGGAAUACAGUAAGGUAAUUGUACAAUUCUUUAGUCUGUUCUGAUUUUGGUUGUGUGGAGAUUCCUAUAAGACAUGAAAAUCCUGCUUGUUUACUUACAUGACAAAAGAGGAAAGGCCUUUUUUGUAGCAGAACAUACUGUUUAAACAAACACCACAGUGAAACAAGACAGCUAAAGGUACUUUAAGUCUUUUUUCUUUUCAUUUACUGUGAAGUGCAUGCCUACAGUUAGUUUUUGUAUCAGCAGACUGUUCCCUCUUUCAGUUAAGUUUACAAAAAUUGCACACUCUGUGGAGCUACUUUAACUUUUAUUUGGAGGUGUUAUCAUCUUAGCAGUGGACUUACACACUGCUUCAGAAAUUCUGAAGGCUGCGUACUGAUUUAGAAAAUGUCUCAAAAACCACAGGCACUUCAUUUGGUGAUUUGGUCUCUGUGCUGACACUCAUUUAGACAUAGAGGACUGCACAGAAUCUCUGCAAGACACAGGGUGAUUGCAAUGGUGCAUUUUGUCUCUGGCUUACAAGCUGUACACCAGCACAGUGCAAGGGUUAAGGACAAGAUAAAAUCACUUGCUGCUGUUUUGAUUUCCUGAGGAGUUGUUGUUUUUACAUGAGAAAAGAGGAAUGCAGUGGGGACAAUUCCUGUGCCAAAAUUUCAAAGUAUGUUCUUGUCAACUGCGGUGCCAUUCAUAGGUUUUACAUCAGAAUCUUAAAUUUGGAUAUAAAGAUCUCUGUUGUAGAAGCCCCAUCUUGUGGACAACCAAUCAAUGACUACUUCAGCAUAACUGAAAUUUGAAAUACUUAGACAAUCUGAAGAUAUUUUGGUAGUUUUUUCUACAAACUGGAGAGUCUUCAUAUUUCUGAGCAAUAUGGAAACUUCAUUCAUGUGUAGAAAUCAGCAUGUGCUUUUCAAAAGACUAUUUCCACAGGAAGAAAUUCUGAGUUGCAGAGAGGUAUUAACACUGGAGUGGAAACAAGGAUGGUGCCCUCAGAACCCUGUUUUAAGUCCAAAUCAGCUAAAACACAAGCCUGAAUCCUGCCUUGAAUUUCCAAAAUAGUGUCUUGUAGCAUUUGGAUAGUACAAAUUAGUCCUUAAGUGGUAAAAUCAUAUGAGGGCAGAAGGACAUCCUUUGAAAAAGUUGUUAGGAGAGAAAGAAUAGCAAAGUGCAUGAAAACUGAAUCUGGAAACUUUGGAAAUACCCUGAAGGAGACUGUUUCAGCACAAAGUAAUGGAAGAGGUCAAGCAACUCCAGACUCAAUGAGUCAACACAUAGAAUGAGUGUUAGGAAGGUAAAAAGAGUGUGAAAACAAGCCUAUGAUAAAAGUUAUUUUCAGGUUUCAAUAUGACAUUGGUAGGAUAUAUUAGAUACAUUCUAUUAAAUAGAUUAAUAGAUACAUAUAAUUAGAAUGGCUUUUUGUUGCUCU
rnacentral:lncRNA from 1 species